UACAGAGGUCUCAAGCGUUGUUCGGAUUCAUUGGGCGUAAAGGGUGCGUAGGCGGCGCGGUAAGUCGGGUGUGAAAUCUUGGAGCUUAACUCCGAAACUGCAUUCGAUACUGCCGUGCUUGAGGACUGGAGAGGAGACUGGAAUUUACGGUGUAGCGGUGAAAUGCGUAGAUAUCGUAAGGAAGACCAGUGGCGAAGGCGGGUCACUGGCCCGGUACUGACGCUGAGGUGCGAAAGCGUGGGGAGCAAACGGG
rnacentral:rRNA from 1 species